rnacentral:rRNA from 1 species
CACGCAGGCGGUCCUGUCAGUCAGAUGUGAAAGCCCGGGGCUCAACCCCGGACGUGCAUUUGAAACAGCAGGACUUGAGUAUGGGAGAGGAAAGGGGAAUUCCUGGUGUAGAGGUGAAGUUCGUAGAUAUCAGGAGGAACACCGGUGGCGAAGGCGCCUUUCUGGACCAAUACUGACGCUGAGGUGCGAAGGCGUGGGUAGCGAACAGGAUUAGAUACCCUGGUAGUCC